UAACGCGAAGAACCUUACCAAGGCUUGACAUGAACCGGAAAGACCUGGAAACAGGUGCCCCGCUUGCGGUCGGUUUACAGGUGGUGCAUGGUUGUCGUCAGCUCGUGUCGUGAGAUGUUGGGUUAAGUCCCGCAACGAGCGCAACCCUCGUUCUAUGUUGCCAGCACGUGAUGGUGGGGACUCAUAGGAGACUGCCGGGGUCAACUCGGAGGAAGGUGGGGACGACGUCAAAUCAUCAUGCCCCUUAUGUCUUGGGCUGCACGCAUGCUACAAUGGCCAGUACAGAGGGCUGCGAAACCGUGAGGUUGAGCGAAUCCCAAAAAGCUGGUCUCAGUUCGGAUCGGGGUCUGCAACUCGACCCCGUGAAGUCGGAGUCGCUAGUAAUCGCAGAUCAGCAACGCUGCGGUGAAUACGUUCCCGGGUCUUGUACACACCGA
rnacentral:rRNA from 1 species